GAUGAACGCUGGCGGCGUGCCUAAUACAUGCAAGUCGAGCGAACGGACGAGAAGCUUGCCUCUCUGAUGUUAGCGGCGGACGGGUGAGUAACACGUGGAUAACCUACCUAUAAGACUUGGAUAACUUCGUGAAACCGGAGCUAAUACCGGAUAAUAUUUUGAACCGCAUGGUUCAAAAGUUAAAGACGGUCUUGCUGUCACUUAUAGAUGGAUCCGCGCUGCAUUAGCUAGUUGGUAAGGUAACGGCUUACCAAGGCAACGAUGCAUAGCCGACCUGAGAGGGUGAUCGGCCACACUGGAACUGAGACACGGUCCAGACUCCUACGGGAGGCAGCAGUAGGGAAUCUUCCGCAAUGGGCGAAAGCCUGACGGAGCAACGCCGCGUGAGUGAUGAAGGUCUUCGGAUCGUAAAACUCUGUUAUUAGGGAAGAACAUAUGUGUAAGUAACUGUGCACAUCUUGACGGUACCUAAUCAGAAAGCCACGGCUAACUACGUG
rnacentral:rRNA from 1 species